UACAGGAGGUGGCAAGCGUUGUUCGGAAUUACUGGGCGUAAAGGGCGCGUAGGCGGCCUUCUAAGUCAGACGUGAAAUCCCCCGGCUUAACCUGGGAACUGCGUCUGAUACUGGGAGGCUUGAGUAUGGGAGAGGGAUGUAGAAUUCCAGGUGUAGCGGUGAAAUGCGUAGAUAUCUGGAGGAAUACCGGUGGCGAAGGCGGCAUCCUGGACCAUUACUGACGCUGAGGCGCGAAAGCUAGGGGAGCAAACGGGG
rnacentral:rRNA from 1 species